UAGCCUAAUGGAUAAGGCAUCAGCCUCCUAAUCUGGGGAUUGUGGGUUUGAGUCCCAU
rnacentral:tRNA from 1 species